rnacentral:rRNA from 1 species
GAUGAACGCUGGCGGCGUGCCUAAUACAUGCAAGUCGAGCGAACAGACGAGGAGCUUGCUCCUCUGACGUUAGCGGCGGACGGGUGAGUAACACGUGGAUAACCUACCUAUAAUACUGGGAUAACUUCGGGAAACCGGAGCUAAUACCGGAUAAUAUAUUGAACCGCAUGGUUCAAUAGUGAAAGACGGUUUUGCUGUCACUUAUAGAUGGAUCCGCGCCGCAUUAGCUAGUUGGUAAGAUAACGGCUUACCAAGGCAACGAUGCGUAGCCGACCUGAGAGGGUGAUCGGCCACACUGGAACUGAGACACGGUCCAGACUCCUACGGGAGGCAGCAGUAGGGAAUCUUCCGCAAUGGGCGAAAGCCUGACGGAGCAACGCCGCGUGAGUGAUGAAGGUCUUCGGAUCGUAAAACUCUGUUAUUAGGGAAGAACAAAUGUGUAAGUAACUAUGCACGUCUUGACGGUACCUAAUCAGAAAGCCACGGCUAACUACGUG